CACAGAGGUCUCAAGCGUUGUUCGGAUUCAUUGGGCGUAAAGGGUGCGUAGGUGGCGCUGUAAGUCGGGUGUGAAAUUUCGGAGCUUAACUCCGAAACUGCAUUCGAUACUGCGGUGCUUGAGGACUGGAGAGGAGACUGGAAUUCAUGGUGUAGCAGUGAAAUGCGUAGAGAUCAUGAGGAAGACCAGUGGCGAAGGCGGGUCUCUGGACAGUUCCUGACACUGAGGCACGAAGGCCAGGGGAGCAAACGGG
rnacentral:rRNA from 1 species